rnacentral:rRNA from 1 species
CCUACGGGUGGCAGCAGUGGGGAAUAUUGGGCAAUGGAGGAAACUCUGACCCAGCAACGCCGCGUGAAUGAUGAAGGUCUUCGGAUUGUAAAGUUCUUUUCUAAGGGAAGAAGAAAGUGACGGUACCUGAUGAAUAAGCCACGGCUAACUACGUGCCAGCAGCCGCGGUAAUACGUAGGUGGCAAGCGUUAUCCGGAUUUACUGGGUGUAAAGGGCGUGUAGGCGGGAGUGCAAGUCAGAUGUGAAAACUAUGGGCUCAACCCAUAGCCUGCAUUUGAAACUGUACUUCUUGAGUGCUGGAGAGGCAAUCGGAAUUCCGUGUGUAGCGGUGAAAUGCGUAGAUAUACGGAGGAACACCAGUGGCGAAGGCGGAUUGCUGGACAGUAACUGACGCUGAGGCGCGAAAGCGUGGGGAGCAAACAGGAUUAGAUACCCUUGUAGUC